GCAUAACGCGUUAUUGUCAAAGCAGUUUGCCGUGUUGUCGUAGGUCCUGCCUAUGGCAGACGGGAAAGCAGUUCGGUGCAGCAGCCGCUUGCUGGCCUGUUUUUGGCACUGCAUUACAGCCCCACCAGACUGUGUCUGCUGGGGGCUCCUCCGCACUGGCUCAGAGCAGAGUUGGGGAGAGCCCAACCCUCAGCUGAACCCCCAGGGCAACACACUUGCCAUAGCAACAAACGACAGGGAAGGGGAAGCAGCGACCCCACAUACGCAGGAUUGGUUGAGUGUCUCCUUGUGUUCAGAAUGAAGCUGUUGCAGCCUGAGUAGAGUCAAAUAUGUGUCAGCGUUAGCCUCUCAACAAUUAUGAGACCUUAUUAGUUGCCAUGAUUGCUGACAGAGUAUUAAUUUAAGAUCAACUCAGAAGAACUUAAGUGCGAGCAGGCUGUGGGGACAGAAUAUGCUCAUUUAAAUAAUGAACAAUUCGUCUAUGGAGCUUUUGAAGAAUGUAAAUAUAUUCAAGUGACAUAAAAAACGUCUGAAGUGGAAACUCCGAGGGUUAUUUAGAGCUCAUUCGCCCUCUCUGCCCCAUGCAGGGAUCCACAGAAUAUUCUGAAUUGGAAGGCACCACAAGGAUCAUCAAAGCCCAAUUCCUGGCCCUGCACAGCACAGCCCCAAGAAUCACAAAUUCUAGAAGCCAUGUUGGAAACAGUUAUUAAACCUCUGCUUUGGAUCUUU